CCCUUAGAUGUCCUGGGCCGCACGCGCGCUACACUGAGUGUCUGAGAUACGAGUCUGCCUGGUCCGGCAAGGUCUAGGUAAUCGCUAAAAGACACAUCAUGCUUGGGAUAGAUUAUUGCAAAUAUUAAUCUUGAACGAGGAAUUCCUAGUAAGCGCAAGUCAACAGCUUGCGUUGAUUACGUCCCUGCCCUUUGUACACACCGCCCGUCGCUACUACUGAUUGGAUGUUUAAGCGAGGUUCUCGAACUGCUAGCGACUUAGCUUCGGUGAGGUCGCAGUGUGGGAAGGGAACCUAGCUUUGGUGUCUAGAGGAAGUAAAAGUCGUAACA
rnacentral:rRNA from 1 species